rnacentral:rRNA from 1 species
UACGGGGGGAGCAAGCGUUGUUCGGAUUUACUGGGCGUAAAGGGCGCGUAGGCGGUCGUGACAAGUCACUUGUGAAAUCUCCGGGCUUAACUCGGAACGGUCAAGUGAUACUGUCGGACUAGAGUACAGAAGGGGCAACUGGAAUUCUCGGUGUAGCGGUGAAAUGCGUAGAUAUCGAGAGGAACACCUGCGGCGAAGGCGGGUUGCUGGGCUGAUACCGACGCUGAGGCGCGAAAGCCAGGGGAGCGAACAGG